rnacentral:rRNA from 1 species
UACGUAGGGUGCGAGCGUUAAUCGGAAUUACUGGGCGUAAAGCGUGCGCAGGCGGCUUUGCAAGACAGAUGUGAAAUCCCCGGGCUCAACCAGUGAACUGCAUUUGUGACUGCAAGGCUAGAGUACGGCAGAGGGGGAUGGAAUUCCGCGUGUAGCAGUGAAAUGCGUAGAUAUGCGGAGGAACACCAAUGGCGAAGGCAAUCCCCUGGGCCUGUACUGACGCUCAUGCACGAAAGCGUGGGGAGCAAACAGG